ACUGGCAGCUAGCUCUCUGCAACUGUCACAUGGUCGCCCACUAAAGCUAAGCAGGGCUGAGCUUGGUCUGUACCUGGAUGGGAGACCACAUGGGAAAGCUAGGUUGCUGCUGGAA
ensembl:rRNA 5S_rRNA 5S ribosomal RNA